GAUGAACGCUAGCGGGAGGCUUAACACAUGCAAGUCGAGGGGCAGCAUAGGGUAGCAAUACUCUGAUGGCGACCGGCAAACGGGUGAGUAACGCGUAUGCAACCUACCCUGUACAGGGGGAUAACCCGGAGAAAUUCGGACUAAUAUCCCGUAAUAAUAUCCGGAGGCAUCUUUGGAUAUUUAAAGUUCCGACGGUACGGGAUGGGCAUGCGUAACAUUAACUGGUUGGUAAGGUAACGGCUUACCAAGGCUAUGAUGUUUAGGGGUCCUGAGAGGGUGGUCCCCCACACUGGUACUGAGACACGGACCAGACUCCUACGGGAGGCAGCAGUGAGGAAUAUUGGUCAAUGGGCGCAAGCCUGAACCAGCCAUCCCGCGUGCAGGAAGACGGCCCUAUGGGUUGUAAACUGCUUUUCCAGGGAGAGAAACUUACGCACGUGUUGCGUGACUGACGUCCUGGGAAUAAGCAUCGGCUAACUCCGUG
rnacentral:rRNA from 1 species